AAGAGAGAGCGAGGCAUAAAGAGAGGGAGAGCGAGGUUUCCGAGAAAAAGGAGAGGCGAAAAGAGCGAGGUUAGAGAUUUAAAAAAAAUAAUCAUAAUCAUAAUAAAAUAAUGAUUAAAAAAUAAUCGCCGCAAUAACAAGAGACCCACCGAUCGGCUGGGAAGCUCGCGGUAUCCGGCCGGAGGAGGUGGGGGGGGCGGGAAGGAAAGGAGAAAAGAGGGCUUUAAAAAACUGGAAGGCAAAAGCUGUUGGGGAGGAAGUGUAAGCCGAGAGGGAGGCUGGGGGAGGGGAGAGAGCGCCAUCUUUUCAUGUCACAGUCACAGAGACAGCGCUGGGCUCGGCCACAGCGUCUCGGUUUCUUUUUAACAGCGGAAAACGUGCGAUUAGCAGGCAGACAGGCGGGGACGGCCAGCCCUGCGCGCACACACACAGCCCGCAGCUCCGGCUCCGCGCCGUGUAAUCCCAGCGCUCAGCCCCGCUGCACCCCCUCAUUAAAAACCCGGAGAUUUCCUCCUCCUCCUCCUCCUCCUCCUCCUCUGCUCUCCGAGGAAAACAACGCCUGCCACGGCCCCAACCCGGGCAGCGCCGCCCGGGGGCCCCGCGCUCCGUGCCGCGCCGUGCCGUGCCCGACGGGCCGCCCGCUCCCCUGCCUCCCAGGGGGCCUCCCCCCGGGGGAGGGGGGGGGGGGCACCGGCUGCAGCCCCCCCAGCACCCUCUCAUCCCACUCCCUUUCUCCGGGCGCGGUCGGGGGGCGCCGCGGCUCCGGGCGCCGGGGAGCUCCGGGCUCCCCCGGGGGCCAGGCGGUACCGUGGCGGAGCCGGGCCCCGCCGCCCCCCGGGGCCGAUGAAGGGCGCUUUAUUCCGCAGCGCUCACAACCCCUCAUUGUGUCGGGCAGAAUCACCUGCCUCCUCCGGAGCUCAGGCGAUUCAUUUAAUGCGCUACACAGCGCGCUCCGUCCCGGCCCCUCCUCGGCUCGGGGCGAGCUCCGCGGUGCGCUCUCCACGGAGCGCGGAGGAGGGGCGCGGCACGGCUCGGCACGGCUCGGCACGGCUCAGCACGGCUUGGCACGGCUCGGCACGGCUGGCCGGCAUCCUCCGAGCACCGUCUCGGCCGGCGGCACCCCGGGGAAGCCUUUCCCCGGCCGGCAGCUCCGCUCGCAGCAUCACACGCGGCCGCCGCGCAGCCCCGCUCGGUGCCCGGGGAGGGGGAGAUGCAAAGGGGGGGGGGAGCCGUGGGGCGGGCGGGGGCCGUGCCGAGCCGGGCGAGGGGAUUUGCUGGGUCGUUGGCUGCGCCUGGGGAA
rnacentral:lncRNA from 1 species